CUCUUAAUUUAUGGGAUGUGUCUCCGCCUGCAACAUUGCAAAAACACCUCAUAUUCAGCUUUAAUGCUGACCUUUUUUUUAAAACCCAGCUGCUACCUAACAACACUGAAACUAUGGUCCUCUGGCAUUUAAUCUACCUGCUCAAGCCCUGGCCCAUGUCUCCAAGUUCCUCUAAUGAAAGUGGCUCCACUUUACUUAGUGUGGGAGAUCUGUGGGCUUUAACAGUGGGACACUGGUUUAAAAUGACCUGCCUCCUGCAGUACAUGCUGCUUUUGUCCACCUUAACUGCUUGUGGGUGUAGGUGAAGGGCCUCUUGAUGAAGUGACUAAAGUCCCUCUUGUCCAACAAUCAGCACCCACCUUCCCACUCUGGCUUCUCGCUGACGAUGGAGCAGAAUAGAUUGCUGUCAAUGAGCGGAUGUUCUGCUUUUGUCUCCACGUGUGGGCUUCAUUACUGUUCUUUUGUGGUUUAUCGAGUCAUUCAUGGGAACUGACAAACUGAAACUACCUUUGGGUUGAGCUGUUAAUAUGUACAAGGGUUGAAGGUGGAAUUAACUUAUUAGUCACGCACUUGAUGAUUAAGACAGGAAACACUCAAAAAGAUGCAAUUUGAAUGUUCUGGGCUUUGACUCGGUCCUAGAAUUAUUAUUUCAGUUGUUGGCUUUCUGGUGACUUCAGUUAAUUCCUGAAAACACUUGACUCUGACCUUUGUGACUCCAUUUCUCUCAGAUGUUUUGCACCUCCUGAUGCUCAGGUGCAAAGGCAGCCGCCACCUUCCUGAAGCAGCGGCCGAGCUCAUUGAUCCGUCUUCAGCGAGGGAAAGCUGCCUCUGCUUCGCCUCCUUCUCCUCCCCUUGGACCCCAUCACUGCGUCUCGUCCCGUCUCAUCUCGAGGCCCACGCCUUCUCCUCAUCGCUUUUGCUUCUAGUCCUGAGCUCUGAUGAGUCACCGACCUUUGUCCAAGCCUGCAGGUGUGACACACACAAUAAUAUGUCACGACUAAAAGCACAAACACAUUAAUCACGUAAGUUACCACAACAUGUUCAGAAGAACACUUGCAACUGAAGCACACAAAACAUAAUAAUAAACAAGUAAAAAUGAAGACA
rnacentral:lncRNA from 1 species